AUGAUUUUAUUGUCGAGCCUGCGACUUUUGUCGCAGAAAGCUCGACAUAGGGAUAGUGAUCCGGCGGCGGCGGCGGCGGCGGCGGCGGCGUUAGCUAACUUCUUAAAAGCUUUAUAUUUUAGAAGGUGGAAGGUCUGGAUGCUUCAUACUUUGUAUAUGGAUGCCUCAUGUUACGAAGUUUCCGUCAGUCACAUGUCCAAUGUCCUUGACCUCAUUUUCAUGGUUCAGUGACUACUUGAAAAAAAAGUUAAGAUUUUUUGUAAUGUUAGAUUCUCUCUUAUUAUAAGUAAUAGGAUAACUAUAUUUGGUAUGUGCGUACCUUGCAAGGUCAUCAUGCCUGUCAGACAGUUUUCACUUGACCUAGACCUCAUUUCAUGGAUCAGUGAACAAGGUUAAGUUUUGGUGGUCAAGUCCAUAUCUCAGAUACUAUAAGCAAUAGGUCUAGUAUAUUCGGUGUAUGGAAGGACUGUAAGGUGUACAUGUCCAACUGGCAGGUGUCCUCUGACCUUGACCUCAUUUUCAUGGUUCAGUGGUCAAAGUUAAGUUUUUGAGUUUUGGUCUAUUUUUCUAAUACUAUAUGCAAUAGUUCAACUAUAUUUGGUAUGUGCGUACCUUGCAAGGUCCUUAUGCCCGUCACACAGUUUUCACUUGACCUCGACCUCAUUUCAUGGAUCAAUGAACAAGGUUAAGUUUUGGUGGUCAAGUCCAUAUCUCAGAUACUAUAAGCAAUAGGUCUACUAUAUUCGGUGUAUGGAAGGAUUGUAAGGUGUACAUGUCCAACUGGCAGGUGUCAUCUGACUUUGACCUCAUUUUCAUGGUUCAGUGGUCAAAGUUAAGUUUUUGAGUUUUGGUCUUUUUUUCUUAUACUGUAUAUAUGCAAUAAGUCAACUAUAUUUGGUGUAUGGAAAUAUUCUAUGAUGUACAUGUCAGUCUCGCAGGUUUUAUUUGACCUUGACCUCAUUUUCACGGUUCAUUGCUCAGUGUUAAGUUUUUGUGUUUCGGUCUGUUUUUCUUAAACUAUAAGCAAUAGGUCAGCUAUAUUUGUUGUAUGGAAGGAUUGUAAGCUGUUCAUGUCUGCCUGGCAUGGUUCAUCUGACUUUGACCUCAUUUUCACGAUUCAUUGGUCAAUGUUUAGUUUUCUUGGUUAAGUCUGUUUCUUAGAAACUAUAAGCAAUAGGUCAACUAUAUUUAGUGAAUUGAAUGAUUGUAAGGUGUACAUGUAUUUCUCGUUUGGUUUAUAUGACCUUGACUUCAUUUUCUUGGAUCAUGUUAAGUUUAUGUAAUAGUUGUAGUAAAGCUUUCAUUUAGGACUAUCAACAUAAUAUCAAUGGUUAGUAAAGAAGGCGAGACAUUUCAGUGUGUCCACUCUUGUU